CUGAAGCUGGAUCAUCAGACUGGAUCUCUGACCCUCAUGAACACCAGAAACACAGACUCUGGAGAAUAUACACUGAAGAUCAUCAGCAUCUACAGCGACAGUGAAAAGAUCUUCAGUGUUUCUGUUCAUGAUGUGUCUGGUUUUGAAGAAGUGUCAGUGAAGGAGGGAGAUUCAGUCACUCUAAACACUGGUGUUCAAAUGAGCCAACAAGAGAUAAUUAGAUGGUAUUUUAAUGACAUUCGCAUCGCUCAAAUAAGCAAUGGAUUUUUCAGUCAUAUCUGUACAGAUGUUCAAUGUGAUGAUGAUAAUGAGAGAUUCAGAGACUGACUGAAUCUGGAUCAUCAGACUGGAUCUCUGACCAUCACAAACAUCACAAACACAGACUCUGGAGAAUAUGAACUAGCGAUCAUCAGCAGCAGCUUCUGGAGUCAUAAAAAGAUCUUCAGAGUUUCUCUUCAUGAUUCAGGUCUGUCUCCAGCUGUAACAGGAAUAUUUGUUGCUGUUGCUGUUGUUGUUUUGCUGAACGUUGCUGCAGCUGCUGGUUUAGUUUACUGUUGCAAGCAUCAAGCAAGAAGAAGAGGUAUCAGGGCGGAGCGCAAUGAUCAGGCUAAUGGUGUUGCAGAUUCAUCCUCUCGUCAGAAUGACACUCUAUUAAUGAAGACUAUCAGCGACUCGUCACCUAAUCAGAAUGAGCCUGCCAAUGACACGCCGACGUAACAUUUAUUAUUUUAAUGCUUUCAUUAAAAGAGAACUUGAAGAUGGGAAACUAGAAGAAGCUUUCAUCGCUCACAGAGAAAUAGUGUCACAAUACCAAGAUUUCAGUAGUUGGGACCAAUACUAUAGUGAAAUUUCAACUUGACCAAUUUCAACUCAUUCAAAUUUAAUCUAGUUUGUUUUUAAGUAAUUUAAAUAAUACAUGAAAACAUGUAGCCUAAAUAUAUACUGCUGCAAAGAAUUAAAGGAUUAGUUCAAAUUGGUUAAAAUUUCCCCAAAGCUUUACUCACCUUCAAGCUAUCCUACCCACACAGCAAAAGGACUCCGUGGCGGAUCCACUGCGGAGGUAUCGCGCAGAAGUGGAAAGUCCAGGGCUCAGAAAGUAAAAGUCCUGAUAUAUUUUUUUUCCACCCACUGAAGCAGUGUUAAAGUUAAUGAGAUAAUGAAGUGAUUAAUUGAGUGAUGA